CGGGUGAGUAACGCGUGGAUAACCUGCCUUACACUGGGGGAUAACACUUAGAAAUAGGUGCUAAUACCGCAUAAGCGCACAGAGCCGCAUGGCUCAGUGUGAAAAACUCCGGUGGUGUAAGAUGGAUCCGCGUCUGAUUAGCUAGUUGGCGGGGUAGAAGCCCACCAAGGCGACGAUCAGUAGCCGGCCUGAGAGGGUGAACGGCCACAUUGGGACUGAGACACGGCCCAAACUCCUACGGAAGGCAGCAG
rnacentral:rRNA from 1 species